rnacentral:pre_miRNA from 1 species
UGCUGGCCCACGCCCAGCCUAACCAAUGUGCAGACUACUGUACAUAUCACAGCCUGCUGAACAGCUAGUCUGAACACUGGGAUGGCGGGGGUGGUGGUUCA